rnacentral:rRNA from 1 species
GAUGAACGCUGGCGGCGUGCCUAAUACAUGCAAGUAGAACGCUGAAGCUUGGUGCUUGCACCGAGCGGAUGAGUUGCGAACGGGUGAGUAACGCGUAGGUAACCUGCCUCUUAGCGGGGGAUAACUAUUGGAAACGAUAGCUAAUACCGCAUAAAAGUCGACAUCGCAUGAUGUUGACUUGAAAGGUGCAAUUGCAUCACUAAGAGAUGGACCUGCGUUGUAUUAGCUAGUUGGUGAGGUAACGGCUCACCAAGGCGACGAUACAUAGCCGACCUGAGAGGGUGAUCGGCCACACUGGGACUGAGACACGGCCCAGACUCCUACGGGAGGCAGCAGUAGGGAAUCUUCGGCAAUGGGGGCAACCCUGACCGAGCAACGCCGCGUGAGUGAAGAAGGUUUUCGGAUCGUAAAGCUCUGUUGUAAGAGAAGAACGAGUGUGAGAGUGGAAAGUUCACACUGUGACGGUAACUUACCAGAAAGGGACGGCUAACUACGU